CGGCCCUGUGAGAUGUGUCUGCUUCCCCCUUGCCUCCACUGUGAUUGUGAGUUUCCCGAGGCCUCCCCAGCCAUGCUUCCUGUAUAGUCUCUGGAACGCUUUGAGAGUCCAUCUUGCGAGCAGAAAGAAGAGGAAAGCAGCACUGAAGAACGGAUGGUGUCUGCAGCAGGGAGGGGGAACCGAAAGCAAAUAUUGGACCACUGUUAAGUUCCCAGCAGAGGGGAGCAGACGCGGACGUGAUGGAGCACCUUCCAGGCCUCAGGUAACCUAGAGCGUUUUAGAGCCUCAUCAGUUACAUGCUGGUAACACAGUCUCCAAAGACAAACAAAGCAUCCAUUACACGCGUGCCACGAUGUCUCACACACAUUUCUGGUCAUUACUGUGAUUUUUUCAUUAUUUAUAGAGAGCCACAAGCCCAUACGCCACACUGUAAAUGGAUGUAACGUGCCAAUUACCCUAAUGUUGAUUAACUGGGAAAGAAAAUGGUGGUCAAGUUUCGGAGACUGUCCUCUCUCCCCUUGGAAAGGAAAUACAGACAGCAUACAGCCGUCAGUGCUGCUGCGAUCCCCUCAACAUCCAUCUGCCUUGUGUAGAAAACAGUGUCUGUAUGGGACCACCUGGAGCUGUCCUCAAGGCUUAGAUGAAAAAGCCCUAAGUUUCGUUUUA